GAUGAACGCUGGCGGCGUGCUUAACACAUGCAAGUCGAACGAACCUUCGGGUUAGUGGCGGACGGGUGAGUAACGCGUGAGAAUCUGCCCUCAGGAGGGGGAUAACGGCUGGAAACGGCCGCUAAUACCCCCAUAUGCCGCGAGGUGAAAUGAAUUUCGCCUGAGGAUGAGCUCGCGUCUGAUUAGCUAGUUGGUGGGGUAAGAGCCUACCAAGGCAUCGAUCAGUAGCUGGUCUGAGAGGAUGAUCAGCCACACUGGGACUGAGACACGGCCCAGACUCCUACGGGAGGCAGCAGUGGGGAAUAUUGGGACAAUGGGCGAAAGCCUGAUCCAGCAAUGCCGCGUGAGUGAUGAAGGCCUUAGGGUUGUAAAGCUCUUUUACCCGAGAUGAUAAUGACAGUAUCGGGAGAAUAAGCUCCGGCUAACUCCGUGCCAGCAGCCGCGGUAAAGUCGUACGAU
rnacentral:rRNA from 1 species